rnacentral:rRNA from 1 species
GACGAACGCUGGCGGCGUGCUUAACACAUGCAAGUCGAACGGAAAGGCCCUGCUUUUGUGGGGUGCUCGAGUGGCGAACGGGUGAGUAGCACGUGAGUAACCUGCCCUUGACUUUGGGAUAACUUCAGGAAACUGGGGCUAAUACCGGAUAGGAGCUCCUGCUGCAUGGUGGGGGUUGGAAAGUUUCGGCGGUUGGGGAUGGACUCGCGGCUUAUCAGCUUGUUGGUGGGGUAGUGGCUUACCAAGGCUUUGACGGGUAGCCGGCCUGAGAGGGUGACCGGCCACAUUGGGACUGAGAUACGGCCCAGACUCCUACGGGAGGCAGCAGUGGGGAAUAUUGCACAAUGGGCGGAAGCCUGAUGCAGCAACGCCGCGUGCGGGAUGACGGCCUUCGGGUGGUAAACCGCUUUCGCCUGUGACGAAGCGUGAGUGACGGUAAUGGGUAAAGAAGCACCGGCUAACUACGU